AACGGCCCUACCAUGCUGAAUAUACCGGUUCUCGUUCGAUCACCGAAGUCAAGCAUCAUUGGGCGCGGUCAGUACUUGGAUGGGUGACCACCUGGGCG
rnacentral:rRNA from 1 species